rnacentral:rRNA from 1 species
CAGUAGCCGCGGGAACACGUAGGUGGCAAGCGUUGUCCGGAAUUAUUGGGCGUAAAGGGCUCGCAGGCAGUUUCUUAAGUCUGAUGUGAAAGCCCCCGGCUCAACCGGGGAGGGUCAUUGGAAACUGGGAAACUUGAGUGCAGAAGAGGAGAGUGGAAUUCCACGUGUAGCGGUGAGAUGCGUAGAGAUGUGGAGGAACACCAGUGGCGAAGGCGACUCUCUGGUCCGUAACUGACGCUGAGGAGCGAAAGCGUGGGGAGCGAACAGGAUUAGAUACCCCGGUAGUCCCUGUCUCUUAUAC